rnacentral:ribozyme from 1 species
AGAAAUGCAAUGCCACUAAGGUGAUGGAUCCGACUCCUCUCGAAGGAUAAUAUAGGCUCUCCUCCCCACUCCUACUCAAUACGUCCAAGGCGUACAGAACGGUAACGUACCACUCCGAAUAUCCAAGCUUGGGUAAACGGGGNNNN